rnacentral:rRNA from 1 species
UACGUAGGGUGCAAGCGUUAAUCGGAAUUACUGGGCGUAAAGGGCGCGUAGGCGGUACUUCAAGUCAGGCGUGAAAGCCCCGGGCUCAACCUGGGAACCGCGCUUGAGACUGGAGAACUAGAGUUCGGGAGAGGAUGGUGGAAUUCCCAGUGUAGAGGUGAAAUUCGUGGAUAUUGGGAAGAACACCGAUGGCGAAGGCAGCCAUCUGGACCGACACUGACGCUGAGGCGCGAAAGCGUGGGGAGCAAACAGG